CGGGAGCAGCGAGGGCCGCAGGCAGAUUCCUCAGGACAGUUUUCUUCUGCAAGUAUUUUCAAAGGAGAUCUACCAGUGAAAUGUCCACAAUAACAGAUUGAAAAGGAUGAUAAAAUAAAAUGGCAAGGAUUAUGUGGAACCAAGCAGCAACUACUGGUUGUCUUCUUGUAGAAAACCUUUGCACUUCUCAAGAACCUCUACUCUAUUCCUCCCUUUUCUUCAUGCCCUCUAAGAAAGCAUGGCACAGCCCCUGUUCUGGGACAGAAGGACGGACAUCCGAGGGACAUGGGCAUCUCUUCUCAGCUUGGCCACGAUGCAUAUGAAGGAGCAAUGUAGCUGAGCUGUGGGUUGACCGAGGCUUGCAUCACUGCCCUGACCCAGAUUGCAUCUGCAGUCAUCUGGAACUGACUACACGCCUGAACUGAUGAAAGAGGCUGUGGAAAUGUGGAUCUCUGGGGCCUUGGCAAGAUGCUUGUGCCAUAUCCACCUGUCCUCUGGAAGACAAAACAGUGAGCAUCAGCAGUGUGUCAUUUAUUCUGCAAAAACUGAACAGAUGAGAACUGCCUUGACAGCCAAUAGAAGAAAAUAGUGUGAUAUGGCCACAGCAGGCACAUGUUCUAUCUAACAAUUGCACUAUGAUCCCAACGAGGAGUGGCACUCAACCUCCCUCUGAUUACCUGUGUUCUUUUCUUUUGCUGUAACAAUAUAAUUUCUUUCCAACACACAAGUGUUUAUGUAAAAAUGCCAAGAUUCUCUAAUGCAGAUUAAAAUAGGUUUACAAAUUAAGGAAAGUCUGGUAUGGAACAAGAGGGAAAUUAUCCCAGCAUUUGGCACUUUUUUGUAGUCAAAGUCUUGUCUUUAGAGGGUGUUAUGUUAACUACACACUUGUGUGAGUACACUCACAUAGGUGAGGCCUAGGAGGAUUUUCCUUGUGUAAUGACUGCAGGAGCUAGCCCUAGCAUAUCACAUUACUGUAAAAGUGGUGUCCAGUAAGCAAUAGGUGGGCUCUCUUGGGAAAAAUGCAGAAAUGCAGGAAGAAAACUUGGUGAGAGCUGGAUCCUCUGCAGUGUAACCUCUCAUGACUGGCUGACCAACCAACCAACCAACCAAAACCAGCAAAAAAGUUAACUAAUUCACCAUGGGGAUGGGAGGAAGGAUGCUUCCUGUUGUGGAAUAGGACAAAAUCCUGUGACAUGUUCCCUCCUAUUAGGUCUGAUACCACUGCUUAUGAUAAAGAUUAAUUUCUAAAAAUCAGCUGUAAAGCUAUAGGUCAGCCAGUAAGACAGUGACUUGACUAAUUUUUCAUUGCAAAGUGUAUGAUACUUUCAUGCCUUUAAUUGACGUCAGUGCAGACAGUGUGUUGUUGAAUCCAAUGAAAUUUGAAUCCCACUAUGAAUUUGUUUUCUACAAAUAGAUUAUGAACAGAAGCCUUUGAUUUCUCUUAAUUAUGUAUUUUUGAGUGAAAAGCUAUUUUGUGUCUAUAUAUAUAUUUAAUAACAGGAAA